UCAGUCAGAGAUCUUCUGAAUCUGAAAUACUCUGCUCGACUCGUCUGUAUUUAUCAACCACCCGCCGCUCACGAAUACAUAGUCGAAUGUGGGGAUGGGUUCAAUAAAAAAGUUUUCGACUGACCACGCCCCCACCCCCUCGCUGGUUAGCAGUUGCGAAGGUUUAGACGACGCCAUAUUCUUGUGGUCGCAGCAAAGUUGAGUUGUUGCCGUCCAAUGGAGUGGAGAAGAGGCGGGACAAACACUACAUUGACCAACCAUGAUACACAACGAUGGAGAAGUGCAGGUGGUAGAUCCUUUUCCUAUCUAGCGCCUAAACUUUGGAAUAGUCUUCCCUGCACUGUCCGGGAGGCAGACACACUCUGUCAGUUUAAAUCUAGACUAAAGACGCAUCUUUUUAAUCUUGCAUACACUACUCUUCCAUAAUAUAAAUCUUCAGAGGGUUUAGGCUGCAUUAGUUAGAUCAACCGGAACCAAAAACACAACUGAUGUACUUGUUGCAUCAAAGAGUACAGAACAGUACUCUACUCUCAGCCAGUCUUGUCUCAUUGUUCCAAGGUUACCACAGCGAGCAGGAUGCAGUUCAUGGCCUGACCUGAUGGUAGAGCGGAGAAUGGGAAGUGGGGACCUGACAAGAGCUGAGAUGAUAGAGCUGGAUAAAGAAGGACGCGGUCUCUUGACAUGUCUUCACCACAAAAUUUCAAAUGCUAUUAGAUUAUUAAUGAUAAUCUUAAACUAUAAUUUAUUUUAUUAUUAAGUUUAUUUAUUUUAUUUAGCCUUGUUGUGCAAGUUCUCUGGAGCUUGUGCAGAGGCAGCAGCUUUUGCCAGAGGGGAACUGGAAUCCCCUGGUUGGGCCUGGGUUCUCCUGAGGUUUUUUUUCUCGAUUAGAGUUUUGGGUUCCUCGCCACCGUUUGCAUACUGUUUUUGCACUAUCUGCCUGACCGGGGGGGCUGCUUUAGAAUCUUAAAGUUUUACUUAAUUAAUAUUGCAUAUAGGAAUUUAUUAUCUGUUAUAUUUGACCUGUGCUUCUCUCUCCUUUAUCCUAAAUGUGUGCUCUCACUGAGCGUGUGUGUGUGUGUG